rnacentral:rRNA from 1 species
GAUGGGGUGACGGAGAAGGCUAGAUCAGCAGGGGUUGGUUCCCUGUUUAAGCAUGUAGGAGGAGUUGCCAGGCAAAUCCGGUGACUCUUAACUCCGAGGUGUGAUGACGAGGUCCCAUGUGGACCGAAGUGAUUAAUGCCCCGCUUCCAGGAAAAGCCUCUAAGCUUCAGAUCACAUUGGACCGUACCGUAAACCGACACUGGUGGGCGAGCAGAUAAUCUGCCAAGGCGCUUGAGAGAACUCGGGUUAAGGAACUCUGCAAAUUGAUACCGUAACUUCGGAAGAAGGUAUACCUUCGAUGGUGUAGAGAUUUACUCUCGAAGCUGUUGAAGGUCGCAGGUAAUCGGUGGCUGCGACUGUUUAUCAAAAACACAGGACUCUGCGAACACGCAAGUGGAUGUAUAGGGUCUGACGCCUGCCCGGUGCCGGAAGGUUAAUUGAUGGGGUUAGCGCAAGCGAAGCUCUUGAUCGAAGCCCCGGUAAACGGCGGCCGUAACAAUAACGGUCCUAAGGUAGCGAAAUUCCUUGUCGGGUAAGUUCCGACCUGCACGAAUGGCGUAACGCUGGCCACACUGUCUCGACCCGAGACUCAGUGAAGUUGAAAUCGCUGUGAAGAUGCGGCGUUCCCGCGGCAAGACGGAAAGACCCCGUGAACCUUCACUACAGCUUUACACUGAACUUUGAACCUUCCUGUGUAGCAUAGGUGGGAGGCUAUGAAGUCUGGGCGCUAGCUCAGAUGGAGCCAACGUUGAAAUACCACCCUGGGAUGUUCGGAGUUCUAACCUAGGCCCGUAAUCCGGGCUGGGAACAGUGUAUGGUGGGUAGUUUGACUGGGGCGGUCUCCUCCCAAAGAGUAACGGAGGAGUGCAAUGGUACGCUCAGCGCGGUCGGUCAUCGCGCUCUAGAGUGCAAAGGCAUAAGCGUGCUUAACUGCGAGACGGACAUGUCGAGCAGGUACGAAAGUAGGUCUUAGUGAUCCGGUGGUUCUGUAUGGAAGGGCCAUCGCUCAACGGAUAAAAGGUACUCCGGGGAUAACAGGCUUAUUCCUCCCAAGAGUCCACAUCGACGGAGGAGUUUGGCACCUCGAUGUCGGCUCAUCACAUCCUGGGGCUGUAGCAGGUCCCAAGGGUAUGGCUGUUCGCCAUUUAAAGUGGUACGCGAGCUGGGUUCAGAACGUCGUGAGACAGUUCGGUCCCUAUCUGCCGUGGGCGUUGGAAACUUGAGGGUGAGCUGUCCUUAGUACGAGAGGACCGGGAUGGACGUAUCUCUGGUGUUCCGGUUGUCACGCCAGUGGCACCGCCGGGUAGCUAUAUACGGACGGGAUAAGCGCUGAAAGCAUCUAAGCGCGAAGCCCCCCCCAAGAUUAGGUUUCCCUGGGAACUCGAUUCCCCUAAAGGGCCGUCGCAGACUACGACGUUGAUAGGCUGGGUGUGUACGUGCAGCAAUGCAUUUAGCUAACCAGUACUAAUUGCCCGUGAGGCUUAAAAAA